rnacentral:rRNA from 1 species
GACGAACGCUGGCGGCGUGCUUAACACAUGCAAGUCGAACGGUGAAGCGCCUUCCUUUUUGGUGGGUGUGGAUGAGUGGCGAACGGGUGAGUAACACGUGAGUAACCUGCCCCAUUCUUCUGGAUAACCGCAUGAAAGUGUGGCUAAUACGGGAUAUUCUGGGUCUGUCGCAUGAUGGGUCUGGGAAAGAUAUUGUUUCGGUGGGGGCUGGGCUCGCGGCCUAUCAGCUUGUUGGUGGGGUGAUGGCAUACCAAGGCGGGGACGGGUAGCCGGCCUGAGAGGGUGGACGGUCUGACUGGGGCGGAGACACGGCCAAGACUGCAACGGGACGCAGCAGUGAGUAAUACGGGAGGAUGGGGGGAGGCAUGAUGCAGCGAGGCCGCGAGACUGAUGGAGGCCUGCGGGUUGUGAACCUCUGGCGUCAGUGAAGCAGGCCUGCCUCAUUUGUGAGUGGGUUGACGGUAGCUGGAGAAGAAGCGCCGGCUAACUACGUG